ACCAAGGAGUCGUCUUCGUAUGCGAGUGUUCGGGUGUCAAACCCCUACGCGUAAUGAAAGUGAACGCAGGUGAGAGCUUCGGCGCAUCAUCGACCGAUCCUGAUGUUCUCGGAUGGAUUUGAGUAAGAGCAUACGGGGCCGGACCCGAAAGAAGGUGAACUAUGCCUGUAUAGGGUGAAGCCAGAGGAAACUCUGGUGGAGGCUCGCAGCGGUUCUGACGUGCAAAUCGAUCGUCAAAUAUGGGCAUGGGGGCGAAAGACUAAUCGAACCUUCUAGUAGCUGGUUUCCGCCGAAGUUUCCCUCAGGAUAGCAGUGUUGAACUCAGUUUUAUGAGGUAAAGCGAAUGAUUAGGGACUCGGGGGCGCUAUUUAGCCUUCAUCCAUUCUCAAACUUUAAAUAUGUAAGAAGCUCUUGUUGCUUAAUUGAACGUGAGCAUUCGAAUGUAUCAACACUAGUGGGCCAUUUUUGGUAAGCAGAACUGGCGAUGCGGGAUGAACCGAACGCGAGGUUAAGGUGCCAGAGUAGACGCUCAUCAGACACCACAAAAGGUGUUAGUACAUCUUGACAGCAGGACGGUGGCCAUGGAAGUCGGAAUCCGCUAAGGACUGUGUAACAACUCACCUGCCGAAUGUACUAGCCCUGAAAAUGGAUGGCGCUCAAGCGUCUCACCCAUACCUCGCCCUCAGGGUAGAAACGAUGCCCUGAGGAGUAGGCGGACGUGGAGGUCAGUGACGAAGCCUAGGGCGUGAGCCCGGGUUGAACGGCCUCUAGUGCAGAUCUUGGUGGUAGUAGCAAAUACUUCAAUGAGAACUUGAAGGACCGAAGUGGGGAAAGGUUCCAUGUGAACAGCGGUUGGACAUGGGUUAGUCGAUCCUAAGCCAUAGGGAAGUUCCGUUUCAAAGGUGCACUUUGCACCGUCUGGCGAAAGGGAAGCCGGUCAAUAUUCCGGCACCUGGAUGUGGGUUUUGCGCGGCAACGCAACUGAACGUGGAGACGACGGCGGGGCCCCGGGCAGAGUUCUCUUUUCUUCUUAACAGUCUCUCACCCUGAAAUCGGUUUGUCCGGAGCUAGGGUUUAAUGGCUGGAAGAGCCCAGCACCUCUGCUGGGUCCGGUGCGCUCUCGACGUCCCUUGAAAAUCCACGGGAGGAAAUAAUUCUCACGCCAGGUCGUACUCAUAACCGCAGCAGGUCUCCAAGGUGAACAGCCUCUGGUU
rnacentral:rRNA from 1 species